UUUGAGAUCUAGGAAAUAUUCUUAGCAAACGUGUCACCUGGGUAUUGUGUGUGUUUGUGAGAGAGUUUUUUUCUCUAUGCUAAAAGUAAUAUUGACAAUAUGGAACCUAAAUACAGUGUGUUUUGUCCAUGUGUCAUACAACACUGAUCUUGUCAAGUUGCUGAUCAAGGUGUGAAGGCUGACAGACUGUGGUCUUGCAGAAGCAGGAACUCAAACUAUAUGCCCCUGAAAAAGAGAAAUAUGUAAUUUUCACUUUGUGACAAACAGUUCCUCGAACUCUGGAAAAUCCUCUGGUGUUUGACUGAAAGUAUAUGAUAGUCUCUUCAUAGUAAGAAAACACCCUAAAUCAUGUCUGGAGAUGUCUCCAAAUGAUUAGCUGUGGGUAUUUUUACUCAACUCAAGCCUAGUUUUAUUGCACUCAUGGGAAUAACUUAUACAAGCAGAACAACACGUGUGAUCUUGAGUUAUGACCUGCACAAGGUAUAUGUGUGAUUGUGGUGUGAUAAAAAGGUUUGUUUGUCACUUAUAUGUCUUAAACUAACCCUGAAUGACAGAAGAUGAUUUCUAUUACACAUAUUCAAGAAUAUCACAGAUAUUCUUGCCUUCCCCCCUCCUCCCCCCCCCCCUUAUC
rnacentral:lncRNA from 1 species